rnacentral:rRNA from 1 species
UACAGAGGUCUCAAGCGUUGUUCGGAUUCAUUGGGCGUAAAGAGCUCGUAGGCGGCUGUUCAAGUCGAACGUGAAAACUCGGAGCUCAACUCCGAGCCUGCGUUCGAUACUGGACGGCUAGAGUCUGGUAGGGGGAUCUGGAAUUCCUGGUGUAGCGGUGGAAUGCGCAGAUAUCAGGAGGAACACCGGUGGCGAAGGCGGGUCUCUGGGCCGAUACUGACGCUGAGGAGCGAAAGCGUGGGGAGCGAACAGG